rnacentral:rRNA from 1 species
GACGAACGCUGGCGGCGUGCUUAACACAUGCCAGUCGAACGGUAAGGCCCUUUCGGGGGUACACGAGUGGCGAACGGGUGAGUAACACGUGGGUGAUCUGCCCUGCACUUUGGGAUAAGCCUGGGAAACUGGGUCUAAUACCGGAUAGGACUACGCGAUGCAUGUCGUGUGGUGGAAAGCUUUUGCGGUGUGGGAUGGGCCCGCGGCCUAUCAGCUUGUUGGUGGGGUGAUGGCCUACCAAGGCGACGACGGGUAGCCGGCCUGAGAGGGUGUCCGGCCACACUGGGACUGAGAUACGGCCCAGACUCCUACGGGAGGCAGCAGUGGGGAAUAUUGCACAAUGGGCGCAAGCCUGAUGCAGCGACGCCGCGUGGGGGAUGACGGCCUUCGGGUUGUAAACCCCUUUCAGCACAGACGAAGCGUAGUGACGGUAUGUGCAGAAGAAGCACCGGCCAACUACG